rnacentral:rRNA from 1 species
GUGGGGAAUAUUGGACAAUGGGCGCAAGCCUGAUCCAGCAAUGCCGCGUGGGUGAAGAAGGUCUUCGGAUCGUAAAGCCCUUUCGACAGGGACGAUGAUGACGGUACCUGUAGAAGAAGCCCCGGCUAACUUCGUGCCAGCAGCCGCGGUAAUACGGAGGGGGCUAGCGUUACUCGGAAUUACUGGGCGUAAAGGGCGCGUAGGCGGCUCUGUUAGUCAGGCGUGAAAUUCCUGGGCUUAACCUGGGGACUGCGCUUGAUACUGCAGGGCUUGAGGCCGAGAGAGGGUGGUGGAAUUCCCAGUGUAGAGGUGAAAUUCGUAGAUAUUGGGAAGAACACCGGUGGCGAAGGCGACCACCUGGCUCGGUUCUGACGCUGAGGCGCGACAGCGUGGGGAGCAAACAGGAUUAGAUACCCUGGUAGUCC